GCAGGUGGCCAUAUACACAUCCAACCAAUGUAUAGGUUGACCUUGAGACUGAGACUCCUAUAGUUCAUUUUCUCAUAUUAAUUUGUAACAUAUGAUAUCCGUAUAAGUGUUGGCGGCGAAUCUGUCGGUUCCUGCUGCCGGAGACGUCUUCAGCGGUGCGGUGGAAGGUCGGGGCGGAGGAGGAGUAAGUACUACUGGGAUGAGGUCAAUGAGGUCGAUUUCUUCGACUAUCGGGAGAACGAGAAGUGAAAGAGGCAGCGUUAAGGUUUAGGGUUUUUGGAUUUGCCUUCUGUUUGAUUUCUUUCUCGGCGAAUCUCAAGUCUUUGUAUAAGCAGUCCUAUAAUAUGGAUAUAUGCUUAUGUGGCACCCCUCUUCUAUGAUCUCUAGAGCUUCAUUUGUUGAUGUUGCUCAAGUUACUAGUGGAGGUAUGCUGCUACAAUGAUUCCUAUAAUUUUUUUCAGAAGUUUGAAAUUGGCUUUGGACAUAAAGAUCUCAUUUUUGUUUGUUUUGGAUUUUAUUGAUUAUAUAGAACCGAACAGGGCAGACCCUCUUGUGGAGUAUGAGCGUAGAAUUGCUGGAGGGGAACUUGUGGAGUAUGGCCCUUUUGUUCGUCUCUCUUAAAUCUUGAUCCGUCGAUUUCAUUGCAUUAUAUGAACGCUUUCAAUUUUUAAAUCUAUAUUAUGUAUCUGUAUUAUACAUUAUACUCUUUCAGUUCACAAAAAGAUUUUUACACUAGACGAAGGAGUAUAAUUUUCAUUACAAUUGUUCCUCUUAUUAGUCUUAUAAUUCAAUUGCUAAAUCCUCCCCCCGCCUGAACAACCCUAGUUCACAAUUGAAGGCAGAUCGGCAGUACUUGUUUUACUUUGUAUUGCUAUGGUUUAACUAGUUUGUGUUGCAGCAGAAAGUUUUAGCACUAUGGUAUGAUGCUUGGUUACAAUUUGUGUUGUAGAAGAAAGUUUUUCAGUCUAUGGUAUCCUCAUAUUUAUUUAUCUUAUGCAUUUCUGUAGAAGUUCAACUGUUGCAGUGGCUGAUGAGGCCCACUAUAUCUCUGAAUGGUGAGUGGUUGCAGGGCCCUUUCUCUACAACAUAUUUUCCAUGCAUUGGCAAGAACUUUGGUGAGUGGUUGCAGUGCAACAUAUUUUCCAAGCAUUGGCAAGAACUUUUCUUGUAAAUUUUUAAGACAAUAUUGAGAAACUGUUGUCUCAGUAAUAGAUCCAUUUCCUUACUUGGUGACUUGUUCUGUAGAAUUGGUUAUAGCUACUAAGUGAAUAUGCUUG
rnacentral:lncRNA from 1 species